rnacentral:tRNA from 1 species
GCUUGCAUAGCUCAGUUGGUUAGAGUCUGGUGCUGAUAACACCAAGGCUGCAGGUUUGAUCCCUGUAUGGGAUCCUGCA